rnacentral:rRNA from 1 species
GACGAACGCUGGCGGCGUGCUUAACACAUGCAAGUCGAACGGAAAGGCCCUGCUUUUGUGGGGUGCUCGAGUGGCGAACGGGUGAGUAACACGUGAGUAUCCUGCCCUUGACUUUGGGAUAACUUCAGGAAACUGGGGCUAAUAUCGGAUAGGAGCUCCUGCUGCAUGGGGGGGGUUGGAAAGUUUCGGCGGUUGGGGAUGGACUCGCGGCUUAUCAGCUUGUUGGUGGGGUAGUGGCUUACCAAGGCUUUGACGGGUAGCCGGCCUGAGAGGGUGACCGGCCACAUUGGGACUGAGAUACGGCGCAGACUCCUACGGGAGGCAGCAGUGGGGAAUAUUGCACAAUGGGCGGAAGCGUGAUGCAGCAACGCCGCGUGCGGGAUGACGGCCUUCGGGUUGUAAACCGCUGUCGCCUGUGACGAAGCGUGAGUGACGGUAAUGGGUAAAGAAGCACCGGCUAACUACGUG